rnacentral:lncRNA from 1 species
AUCUUGGGCUCUUCACCAAGUAAAGGCAAGAUCAAGGGACUGGAGGUCUGAGUCCCUCUCUUGCCUAACUGCCCCAAGGGCCCCAGAAACUACUCUGGGCCAAAAAUCAGGAAUAGUUGAAAGAAAGAAACAAAUACUGAAAACACCCAGAUUUAUAAUCUGCUUAGACACCCAAACUCAUCCUUAAAGCAGUAAAUAAAAUUUAUCUCCUUGACUGCCUUGCAACUUUCCACUCAGUUUGGCAAUGUGUAGAUGGGGUCAGCUUGAGUUUCAGAGCUUGGGGGUCCAGUACUAAAUGUCUAGAGAGCUAGAUCUGGGGCCUCUCACCCCCUUUCCUCAUAUACCUCCUCUUGCUUCCUUCCCCUCCCAGGGCUUCUCAGAAAGUGACAGCUGACUUUGGGGGCUGAGUGGUCCCCUUUG